GCAUGAUUAGCUCAGCUGGGAUGAGCAUUUCGUUUACACCGAAAGGGUCAUAGGUUCGAAUCCUAUAUCAUGCA
rnacentral:tRNA from 1 species